AACGAACGCUGGCGGCAGGCCUAACACAUGCAAGUCGAGCGAAGCCAUCGGGCUUAGCGGCGGACGGGUGAGUAACGCGUGGGAACGUGGCCGUUGGUACGGAAUAGCCCCGGGAAACUGGGAGUAAUACCGCAUGUGGUCGAUAGACGAAAGACUCAUCGCCAAAGGAUCGGCCCGCGUGAGAUUAGGUAGUUGGUGGGGUAAUGGCCUACGAAGCCGACGAUCCAUAGCUGGUUUGAGAGGAUGAUCAGCCACACUGGGGCUGAGACACGGCCCAGACUUCUACGGGAGGCAGCAGUGGGGAAUCUUAGACAAUGGGGGAAACCCUGAUCUAGCCAUGCCGCGUGAUCGAUGAAGGCCUUAGGGUUGUAAAGAUCUUUCAGUGGGGAAGAUAAUGACUGUACCCACAGAAGAAGCCCCGGCUAACUCCGUGCCAGCAGCCGCGGUAACAC
rnacentral:rRNA from 1 species